CACGAGGCUGAAGUAGAAGAGCAGCCGGAAGAAGAAGCCCCACGCCGCCGUGACGAGGAGGCACUCCCACUUGCCGAGCUGCGUCACCGCCGCCUCCCGGAGCACGUUGUGCCCGGUCAUCACGCAGGUGUUGGGGCCGAUCUUGACGCCGAGCGCCGUGCCGAUGGACGCCAGCACCCUCGUCUUCACCGUGUCCGGCAGCACGGCCAGCGGCGAGUUGUCGAACAUCUGCGUGCCACGGACGUAGCACUCGCCGCCGCGGCCGAACUCGUUCUGGAGCACGCCCUCGAACGGGUACUUGACGAGCGAGAGGUAGUGGAACCAUAUCCAGUAGUCCGGUAUCCUGUCCCGGUUGAUGAAGAAGCCGCUGAAGAGGAGGAAGUAGGCGAGGAUGGCGACGACGACGGUGUAGCCGAUCAUGACGUGCGGUAUGACGCCGGAGAGGAACGUGACGAACCCGCUGCCGGCCCAGAAGGAGGCGAGGAUGGCGAGGGUGUAGAAGGCGAACCCGGACACGCCGCCGGCGAGGCCGACGGCGAAGAAUGUGGUGAAGGCGAAGGCGAGGGAGAGCACGACGAGCGGCGGGAAGGAGACGAUGGCGUUGGAGAGCACGUAGGAGGUGCGGCGGUACGCGCCGUAGGCGGUCUCCCGGAGGAAGAUGUAGCGCUCGUGCAGGAACACCGGGAGCGCGUCGGCGCAGGUGUAGAACAUGGUGGACAUGGCGAAGGCGAAGAAGCCGAGCCGCUCCUGCGCGCCCUUGGGCGACUGGUCGAGCUUGUAGAACACGGUGGCGAGGAUCGCGCCGGUGAUCACCACGGCGCCGAGCCUGAUGAGGAACAGCUCCGGCAUGCGCCGCGUGUUGAUCGCCGACCGCUUCGCCAGCACCUUCAUCUCCACCCAGAACGGGUGUGCAUCGACGCCGCCUCGCCGGCCACGUCCGAGCCGGACACCAGCUUCCCGCGCGAGAUGCUCGCGCUGAUGGCCUCCUUCAGCGACAUGCUGACGAGCUGUCCGGUUCCCGCCGGCAACGACUCGAACUCGCGGAUCAGGUCGAGCGCGAACUCGGCGCGGUUCUCGUCGUCGGGCACCGGGUACCCGAACUCGGCGAAGUAG
rnacentral:lncRNA from 1 species